rnacentral:rRNA from 1 species
CCUACGGGAGGCUGCAGUGGGGAAUUUUGCGCAAUGGGGGAAACCCUGACGCAGCAACGCCGCGUGCGGGACGAAGGCCCUCGGGUCGUAAACCGCUUUCAGCAGGGAAGACCACGACGGUACCUGCAGAAGAAGCUCCGGCUAACUACGUGCCGGCAGCCGCGGUAAUACGUAGGGGGCGAGCGUUAUCCGGAUUCAUUGGGCGUAAAGCGCGCGGAGGCGGCCGCCUAAGCGGAACCCCUUACCCCGGGGCUCAACCUCGGGCCAGGUUCCGGACUGGCGGCUCGAGUGCGGUAGAGGAGAGCGGAAUUCCCGGUGUAGCGGUGGAAUGCGCAGAUAUCGGGAAGAACACCGAUGGCGAAGGCAGCUCUCUGGGCCGUAACUGACGCUGAGGCGCGAAAGCUGGGGGAGCGAACAGGAUUAGAUACCCGAGUAGUC